GUACGGGGGGGGGCAAGCGUUGUUCGGAAUUACUGGGCGUAAAGGGCUCGUAGGCGGCCAACUAAGUCAGACGUGAAAUCCCUCGGCUUAACCGGGGAACUGCGUCUGAUACUGGAUGGCUUGAGUUUGGGAGAGGGAUGCGGAAUUCCAGGUGUAGCGGUGAAAUGCGUAGAUAUCUGAAGGAACACCGGUGGCGAAGGCGGCAUCCUGGACCAACACUGACGCUGAGUGAGCGAAAGCCAGGGGAGCAAACGGG
rnacentral:rRNA from 1 species